rnacentral:lncRNA from 1 species
CUACCUAUAGUGGGCAGGUGGCACGAUUUUGGUCCUAAUAUUUUCGUAGCAUCCAAAUCUGAUUACAUUAAACCUGUCAUUCGUAUUGUGUUUCUCGUGUUCGUAUCGUUUUCGUGACAUACUUGAUAUCUUAACAUGUCGUGUCGUGUAACACCCGUUAAAGUAAAUGGGUAAUAUGACUCAACCCGAAAUUAACCCGUUAAUAUUAUUAAGUACUAUGACCCGACCCGUUACCCUUUUAAAAAAUAUAUUUUAAAUCAAUAAAUAAUGAAAAUGAAAAAUAUAAUUUGACCCAAAAAAUGAAAAACAUAAUACUAAAUUUGUAUAUGUAUAUCACACUGUCAUGUAAAUAUCACUUCAAAACAUUUAAAAAAAAACAUUUGUCUUUCAAGUAUUGCAUACCCCAAAAUAAGAGUAUAAUGAAAAAACAUUAGUACAUUACUACAAAAUACCAAAGGUUCAAGGAUAUGCAAAAUAAAUGGAGUUACGUUUCAAGGUUGAGGAUCCAAUCCCGAGUAUUUAUAUAUGCUUUCACAUUUUUCAGACUUGUACAUUAAUAAAUAUGAAUUUUAUUUAUUUUGAACUCCCUUAAAUAUACUAUUCAUGAGGUUUUGUAUGAUUCUAAACAUUCAAACGGCAAUGUACCCAUCCUCAAAGUGUAGAGGAUGCGAUCACAAGCGUUUGCCUAUUUUUUCCACAUUUUUUGUACUUGUAAAUUAAUUAUUAUAAUUUUUGAAUGUGUUUGGUAUUUUUACUUUUAAUGUGUUUUAUAAUUUUUUAAUCUCACCCUUUGCUAUAGUAUACUAUAAAAAUAAAUAAAUAAAUAAAUAAAACUUAAAUAUAAUAAUGCAAUAUAUAAUAUACAUAUAUACUAUGCCUAUUGUAUUUUAUAGUAAGAUUUUUUUAUUAGUUUAAAAAAUUAAAAUCAUCAAAAUAACAUUUUUCUUAACGUGUUGAAAUGGGUUACUCGUGUGUCAAUCUCGUGUGAACCUGUUAAGAACCCCUUAUUGACGGGUUCUCAUCGUGUGAUCCGAUAACGAUCCGAUUAAUUGUCGUCUCGAUCCGAAAUCUAUUAUUUUUGUGUCGCUUACGUGUUGUGUUAACGAAUCAUGUAAGAUUACAUGAAACUUUAUCAGCCAUUUGGGAGUUCAUGAGUGCCUCUCAACACUUUUUCAUCAUAAUUUGGUAUUUUGUCUUCUGCGUCCUCGAUUAACAAAAUGGGACAUAAAUAUCUGCCUUAUAUAUGGAUCGUUCUUAAUUUAAUCACUACAUGUUGAGACAACACGUAUUCUGAUGACAAAAUUCUAGCUCUAAAAGCUCAUCUUGCUCAUAGAGUAUUAGAUCUUACGGAAAUAUCAAUAGUUUAAUUUACAGUUAAAUCGACGAAUAUUAAGAUAAUAUUGAUUUAGUUAAUUAUUAGGAACGAAAAUGAUAUAAAUAUGUAAAAAACUAUUAAGGUUUGGACCUCAACGUAGGAUCCUGGACCCCAUAACUUAGGGUUUUCGACUGAAAUUUAAAGGUUUUGGCACUCAAGCAUAACAAUUUUUUUUAGAGACAGCUCUGGUGGUUGACCUGGGCUUUGGUCCAUCGAUUUUAUCAUUUUUCCAACCCGGUGACAGUGGAGUCUCUUUGAAAGUAACUCUUUCCUCUUGAUGCAAGCAGUGACAUAGAAUGCACGAGAUGCUUCCCCUCUAAGUCUCAUUACUGAGGACAUCAAAAUGUGGGUUCAUUCUCUUGAUGGUACGCAGGUUUCACAUGUCCGAUUUUCAGCUAAUUUAGUUGCUUAUAGAUUAGUUAAAUUUGCUUUGUAUUUUGAUUCGAUUGAAUAUUAGUAUGAGGAGCCCUCGGAUAUUAUCCAUGAUUCCCUCUUAGAUGAUUGUAUGACUUUUUGAGUUUGAAUAAAAUCACUAUCGUUUCUCUUGAAAAAAAAAAGAAGAAGAUGUAAACUUCAAAAAAAAAAAAAAAAAAAAAAAAAAAUCUUUUAGGAUAGUACUAUUCACACACCUAUUUUCACUUCCUACACACUCAUGUUAAUUUUUUACCAUCGAUCUUCUUCAAUUCAUUAGAUCCAACAACUAAAAAUUAAGAAGGUGUGUGAGAAGUAAAAAUUGAUGUGUGGAUAGCACUAUAUCCUUCUUUUAAAGCAAAAUACUCGCCACCCAACAAACUCAUGCAAAACCCUUGUUACUAUUGUUCACUUUUUGUGUAGUGUGUUGAAACCAUGGAUUUAAAUAUCGAUAUUAUCGGCGAAAUAUCGCCGAUAAUAUCGAUUUUUCGGGUAAUGGAUAUUUAAACUGGUUUCCGUGUGGUUUUCGUCCAAAUAUCGCGAUAUUUAUCGAUAUUAUCGAUAAUAUCGCGAUAUUUUGGAAAUAUCGAGAAAUUUCGUUGAACGGUGCAAUCGGACUCCGAUAUCGGACGCCGGAGAAGAACGCCGGAGAUGGUGUGCCUGUUCCCGAGCCCAUUUCGUCCCAAAAACCUUGCAAAAACACGAAUUUUAACUUAAAUUUCACAUAUAAGCUUCAAAUUUCACGCAUGCAUCAACGAUUCAACAUAUGUGAUAUCCGUUUAGGGCUUAGGGUUUCAAAUUGAAACUUUCAAUGGAAUCUCACCUGAAAUAUCGAUGACUGGGCCAACUCCUUGCUCAGCGGCGCACCACCAGAGACGACUGAGCCAAGUUCGACUUCGGCAGACCCACGAUCAACGGCAGCGAAGGAUCGAGAGAGUGGGAGAAGGGGGAGAUCUGUGUGUGUGUGGGUCGAAUGGAGAAGGGGGAGAAGAGAGGUCAGGCCUCAGAGAAGAAGAGAGAAAGAUCGAGGGCCUCAGAGAAGAAGAGAGAAGGAUCGAGAAGGGGGAGAUCUGUGUGUGUG